ACGAACGCUGGCGGCAUGCCUAACCCAUGCAAGUCGCACGAGACCUUCGGGUCUAGUGGCGCACGGGUGCGUAACGCGUGGGAACCUGCCCUUAGGUUCGGAAUAACUCCCCGAAAGGGGUGCUAAUACCGGAUAAUGUCUUCGGACCAAAGAUUUAUCGCCUUUGGAUGGGCCCGCGUUGGAUUAGCUAGUUGGUAGGGUAAAAGCCUACCAAGGCGACGAUCCAUAGCUGGUCUGAGAGGAUGAUCAGCCACACUGGGACUGAGACACGGCCCAGACUCCUACGGGAGGCAGCAGUGGGGAAUAUUGGACAAUGGGCGAAAGCCUGAUCCAGCAAUGCCGCGUGAGUGAUAAAGGCCUUAGGGUUGUAAAGCUCUUUUACCCGGGAUGAUAAUGACAGCACCGGGAGAAUAAGCUCCGGCUAACUCCGUG
rnacentral:rRNA from 1 species